CAUUCACUCCAAGCUGAAGAUGAACACCCCAGUCCACUCCCCCUGAACGAAUUGCCGCUCGUCUACUCAUCCCUACUCUUCUCUGUCCCCGUUCCCAUGGCGACCGCCUCAUAGCAGUGCUCCGACCCCGGUUCGGGCGAGCGUCUCGCAGGGGCGCAGUCGUAACCUUUGCCUGUUGAACUCAUGCGUUUGCGGUUGCGUGCGCCAGGCUGGUAGAGCUGCAUGGCUGGUCGGUCCUAAAGAGGAAGCAGAGAGAGAGAGAGAGAGAGAGAGAGAGAGUAAGAAUCAGUCAUCCACCAGCUCAUAGCAGAGAAGAGAUCAUUAAGAUGUUUGAGAUUAUUCGUAUUAUGAUUUUUAUUAGUAUUACCAUUAUGAAUGAUCUUUUAUAAUAAUAAGGAGAAUGUUAAUAAAGCUGCCAGUGAAUGUGUUAGGCUUUGAAACUGAAUGAAGCAGUCUAAAUGGGGAUAUGCUAUAAACCAUUCCAGGUUUUGAAUGGGGCAACUAAUGGCAGGAAGUGGCCUUUAUUGUUGUGCAUAGAUUUGUUUUCACAUGAGUAGAGAGGUGAGGUGAACAUUUUCGCAAUGUUUAAAUGCAGAAGUCAAUCCAGUACAGAAAGAGACCAAGGCACGAAGUCACAGGACAAUCAUUAGUUGAGGAGAGGUCAGCAUCCGAUCACCAGUAUGAUUCUAAAAAGAAAGACAGUUCAGUAAAUGGUACUUCACAAUGGGUCAAAGUUAGCUUUUGUUGGGCCUAACAGCUGUAUCAACACUACUAGAGUUAGAAACAAUAAAGGCUAUGCAAAUAGGAAAAAAGAUUAUUUUUUAGCAGAAAGAAUAACAAAAGUUGACCUGGCUGCACGUUUCUACAUAGCAAUAUUCAAGAUCUACUGCAAUUUCAAUUUCAAAUUCUAUAUCGAUAAAAAAAUAUCAGUAAAUAAUAGGGGAAAAAGGGGGUUGCAUGGCCUCCUCCUGGUAUUCACCCUAAAGGAGAUCAAUAAGUAGAAGAACAACAAGAACAAGACAUUGAAAUAUGCUCCGCCCCCCCUCCAGCUCAUGCUCACCUUCUCGCUCACCUUGUUACGAAGGCGCUCCUUCCUGCUGGCCGGGUCUUCCCUGUCCUCCUUGCCCAGCUUGUCCCCUCCGUCUGGGCAAUAGGAGAAGCCGUGGUGGUGGCCCUCCUUCUUGGCCCGGUCCUGGCAGUAGCCCUUGCCCCACUUGGUUUCGUCUUUCCGCGCAUGAACUUGUCAAAGUCGUAGUGGUGCCGCUGGCGCUUACGCUCCUCGUCUUUGGCCCGGUGCUCCUUGUCUCUCUGCCUGCGGCCGUGCUGUUGCUGCAGUAAGUCUCUCUGCUCUUUGUCGCUCUCCGGCUGA
ensembl:lncRNA